rnacentral:rRNA from 1 species
GACGAACGCUGGCGGCGUGCUUAACACAUGCAAGUCGAACGAUGAAGCGGCCAGCUUGCUGGUGGUGGAUUAGUGGCGAACGGGUGAGUAACACGUGGGUAACCUGCCCAAAAGAAGGGGAUAACAUUUGGAAACAAGUGCUAAUACCGUAUAACCAUGAUGACCGCAUGGUCAUGAUGUAAAAGGUGGUUUUGCUAUCGCUUUUGGAUGGACCCGCGGCGUAUUAACUAGUUGGUAAGGUAACGGCUUACCAAGGUGAUGAUACGUAGCCGAACUGAGAGGUUGAUCGGCCACAAUGGGACUGAGACACGGCCCAUACUCCUACGGGAGGCAGCAGUAGGGAAUCUUCCACAAUGGGCGCAAGCCUGAUGGAGCAACGCCGCGUGAAUGAAGAAGGUCUUCGGAUCGUAAAGUUCUGUUAUUAGAGAAGAACACGUGUAAGAGUAACUGAUUAUGCGUUGACGGUAUCUAAUCAGCAAGUCACGGCUAACUACGUGCCAGCAGCCGCCGUAAAC